rnacentral:rRNA from 1 species
UACGUAGGGUGCGAGCGUUAAUCGGAAUUACUGGGCGUAAAGCGUGCGCAGGCGGUUUUGUAAGCCAGAUGUGAAAUCCCCGGGCUUAACCUGGGAAUGGCAUUUGGGACUGCAAGGCUGGAGUGUGGCAGAGGAGACGUGGAAUUCCCGGUGUAGCAGUGAAAUGCGUAGAUAUCGGGAGGAAUACCGAUGGCGAAGGCAGGUCUCUGGGCUGACACUGACGCUCAUGCACGAAAGCGUGGGGAGCAAACAGG